rnacentral:lncRNA from 1 species
ACAAAUUCCUGAUGAUAGUGUUGUCUGUAACACCUGGAUUAGAUCAAUGCAUUUCCUGUUCCACACAGAGGGCAUAAAAGGAGCAAACUGAGCUCAGAAGAGGGACUGAAGUUCAGAAUGGAGAUUCUCUGUAUUGGUACUGUAUCGAUGUCUAGGCAAAAUUUGUAUGCUUUCUUAUUGACUUGCUUCUUCAAUAGAAGACAGGUUAUUAUUUUAACUCCAGCAAGUAAGAAUGUCUCCAUAUGCCUAUUGGACAACAACAAGAAGGAAAUAUGGUCCCCAUGCUGCAGCUUCUUAUCGGGAAUUGUGGUUUUUUGUAUCCUGCCUAGCACUGGCUGAGGGAGCAGAAGAACUGAGUUGCACCACACAUCCAAAUCACAGCUAUGUGAUCAACAGCAUUUUAGUUGGGCUUGACAGCCCCCAGAAGAGCAGACACGACAGAAAUCACAGAAGAUCUUUUGAGACCCCUGUUGAGAGGGAGCUGUUUGGAAAGUGAGAGACCUGCACAAGUGUUUUUUGUGUACAUUGUUUUCAUAUAUGGAACAUGUAGGAGAAGGAGGCUGUAAGGUCUCCAUGGGUGAGCAGAUAAUGUACAUGCGGGCACCACAGCAGAACAUUUUCUAGGAUCCUCUGAGACUGGGA